rnacentral:snoRNA from 2 species
UGAACACUUCUUAGAUCCACCUCUGGAGGGUGCGCCUGUGCUGGUGCUGUCGUCUCCGAACGCUGCAGCUUCAGCCCAGAGGCUCUCAGCAGCUUUCUGGCUGUACAGUCGGAGGUGUUUUAGUCAUUGGUGUUGUAGAGCAGUCUACCUGCCUCCACAGCCCUCCUUCUGCACUGGCAACUCUGUUAUACUGAUGGGAAUCAACCAGUGCAGCUUGGCUGGGAGGUGGACAAC